ensembl:rRNA 5S_rRNA 5S ribosomal RNA
GCCAGCAGCCAUAUCACCCUUCAAUUCACAACUGGCAACCCACUGAAGCUAAGCAGGUGUGAGCCUGGUCAGUACCUGAAUGGGAGACCUUCUAGGGAAAACUAAGGUUGCUGCUGGAA